rnacentral:tRNA from 1 species
GGGUGAGUGGCGGAAUGGCAGACGCUGGGGACUUAAAAUCCCCUGGGAGAAAUCCCGUGCGGGUUCGAUUCCCGCCUCGCCCA